CCAUCUUCAUCUGCUUUAUCCGAGGCCGGGUCGCAGGGGCAGCAGCCGAGAGGCCCAGACCUCCCUCUCCCCAGCCACCUCCUCCAACUUAUCCGGGGGAACACCAAGGCAUUCCCAGGCCAGCCGAGAGAUAUAAUCGCUCCAGCGUGUCCUGGGUCUGCCCCGGGGCCUCCUCCUGGUGGGACAUGCCUGGAACACCUCACCCAGGAAGCGCCCAGGAGGCAUCCUGCUCCUUUCGAUGUGGAGCAGCAGGCUCCUUUCGAUGUGGAGCAGCAGCGGCUCUACUCUGAGCCCCUCCCGGAUGGCCGAACUUCUCACCCUAUCUCUAAGGGAGAGGCCAGCCACCCUUCGGAGAAAGCUCAUUUCUGCCGCUUGUAUCCGCGAUCUCGUUCUUUUGGUCACUACCCACAGCUCGUGGCCAUAGGUGAGGGUAGGGACGUAGAUCAACCGGUAAAUUGAGAGCUUCACUUUUACACUCAGCUCCCUCUUCACCACAAUGGACCGGUGCAGCGUCCGCAUUACUGCAGCUGCAGCCCCAAUCCGUCUGUCGAUCUCCGGCUCCCUUCUCCCAUCACUCGCGAACAAGACCCCGAGACACUUGAGGCAGAAACUCAUCCCCGACCCGGAGUGGGCACUCCACCCUUUUCCGGCUGAGAACCAUGGCCUCAGAUUUGGAGGUGCUGAUCCUCAUUCCCGCUGCUUCACACUCGGCUGCAAACCGUUCCAGUGCGAGCUGGAGGCCCUCACCCGAUGAAGCCAACAGAACCACAUCAUCCACAAAAAGCAGAGAUGAGAUUCUGAGGCCACCAAAGCGAAAGCCCUCCGCCACUUGGCUGCGCCUAGAAAUCCUGUCCAUAAAAAUUAUGAACAGAACCGGAGACAAAGGGCAGCCCUGGCGGAGCCCAUCACCCACCUGGAACGAGUCCGACUUAUUGCCGGCAAUGUGAACCAAGCUCUUGCAACGGUUGUAUAGGGAUUGAAUGGCCCGUAGCAAUGGGCCAGACACCCCAUACUCCCGCAACACCUCCCACAGGACACCCCGAGGGACACAGUCAAAUGCCUUCUCCAAGUCCACAAAACACAUGUAGACUGGUUGGGCAAACUCCCAUGCACCCUCAAGUAUCCUUGAGAGGAUAAAAAGCUGGUCCAGUGUUCCGCGACCAGGAUGAAAACCGCAUUGGGGCGACCGUGGCUCAGGGGGUUGGGAAUUGCAUCUGUAACCGGAAGGUUGCCGGUUCGAUCCCUGGGCUCUCUGUCCUAGUCGUUGUGUCCUUGGGCAAGACACUUUACCCUACUUGCCUACUGGUGUUGGCCAGAGGGGCCGAUGGCGCGAUAUGGCAGCCUCGCUUCUGUCAGUCUGCCCCAGGGCAGCUGUGGCUACAAACGGUAGCUUGCUUCCACCAGUGUAUGAAUGUGAGAGUGAAUGAAUAGUGGUAUUGUAAAGCGCUUUGGGUGCCUUGAAAAGCGCUAUAUAAAUCCAAUCCAUUAUUAUUAUUGUUCCUCCUGUAUCUGAGAUUCGACUAGCGGACGAAGUCUCCUUUCCAACACCCUGGCAUAGACUUUCCCAGGGAGGCUGAGGAGUGUGAUCCCACUGUAGUUGGAACACACCCUCUGGUCUCUCUUCUUAAAGAUGGGGACCACCACCCUGGUCUGCCAGUCCAGGGGUACUGCCCCGGAUCCCCACGCAACAUUGUAGAGGCGUGUCAACCAGGACAACCCUACAACGUCCAGAGCCUUCAGGAACUCGGGGCGGACCUCAUCAACACCAGGGGCUCUGCCACCAAGGAGUUGUUUAACUGCCUCAAUGACCUCGCCCCCGGAAAUUGGCGACUCAUCCCCAGACUUUGCUUCCUCCUUGGAAGACGUCUCAGUGGGAUUAAGGAGGUCCUCGAAGUAUUCCUUCCACCGCCUGACAAUUUUCUCAGUCGACGUCAGCAGCACUCCGGCAGCACUAUACACAGUGCAGGUAGAGCACCGCUUUCCCCUCCUGAGAUGCCUGACGGUUUGCCAGAAUCUCUUCGAGGCAGUCCAAAAGUCUUUUUCCAUGGCCUCUCCGAACUCCUCCCACACCCGAGUUUUUGCUUCAGCCACUGCCCAAGCCACAUUCCGCUUGGCCUGUUGGCUGCCUCUGGAGUCCCACAGGCUAACCAAGCCCGAUAGGACUCCUUCUUCAGCCUGGUGGCUCCCUUGACCUCCGGUGUCCACCAUUUGGUUCGGGGAUUACCACCACGGCAGGCACCAACCUCCUUGCGGCCGCAGUGCAAUGUAGCAGCUUCGGCAAUGGAGACGCUGAACAUGGUCCAUUCGGACUCAGUGUCCCCAGUCUCCCUCGGAAUGCUGUUGAAGCUCUACCGGAGGUGUGCGUUGAAGCUCUCGCGGACUGGGGCCUCUGCUAGACCUUCCCAGCACACCCUCACUACGCGUUUAGGUGCACCGGGUCUGUCCAGCGUCCUCCCCCGCCACCUUAUCCAACUCACCACCAGGUGGUGAUCAGUUGACAGCCAGCCCCUCUCUUUACCCGAGUGUCCAGAACAUAUGGUCGCAGGUCUGGUGAUACGAUUACAAAAUCGAUCAUCGACCUACGGCCUAGAGCGUCCUGGUGCCACGUGCACUUAUGGACAACCUUAUGUUCGAACAAGGUGUUCGUUAUGGCCAAACUGUGAUUUGCACAGAAGUCCAAUAAAACACCAUUAGGGUUCUGAUCAGGGAGGCCGUUCCUCCCAAUGACGCCCCUCCAGGUCUCGCUGUUGUUACCCAUGUGAGCACUGAAGUCUCCCUGCAGGACAACAGAGUCUCCACGUGGAGCACCUUCCAGCACCGAUGACAAGCGCAGAUGACAGUCGAGACCCGUUCCCCGACCCUAAGGCGCAGGGAACAAACCCUCUCAUCCACCUGGAAAAACCCCAACGUACCGGCAGCCAGCUGAGGGAAUAUUAGAAUACCCACCCCAGCCCGCCGCCUCUCACCAGGGGCAACUCCAGACUGAGACAGUGUCCAGCCCCUCUCUAGGAGACUGGUUGCAGCGCCCAAGCCAUGCGUAGAGGUGAGCCCGACUAUAUCUAGCCGGUACCUCUCAACCUCACGCACUAACUCAGGCUCCUUGCCCACCAGAGAGGUGACAUUCCAUGUCCCUAUUGCCAGUCUUGGCAGCCGGAGAUCAGUCCGCCAGGGCCUCUGCUCCUGGCCGCCACCCGGCACACAAUGCACACUAUGGCGCCUCCUGCGGGUGGUGGGCCUGCGGGAGGAUCUAAAAUUUUAACCUUCUCAUCUUUACUUUGCAAAAAUACAGAAGAAAUGUGUCCUUGAGCGUAUUCAACUGUACUUGUGUUACUUUGCAGUGUCUCAAAUCACAUGAAGCCCAGUCUGGAGCUUCUUUGAUGCUCCAUGUCUGAGUGGAAAGAAAUCACUGCUCUGUUUUGUUUUACAUUUUCACCUUCUGCCCGUCUCUUCUCACUGCAGCUCAGUGUGCCUCCAGUUCUCCAGUCUCCCCAACAAACAUAGUUUCUCCCCCUUCCUCGGCUGACUUUCCCAUCUCAACCCACACCAUGAAGGUGUGAUUCUCACAAGUUCAAGCCCUGGGCGCUGUUAAGGUUGAUGGCGCAUCUUUCUGAGGAUUGACUCAAAAAACUGGAAAGUCUCAGAAAAUGGAAAAAGAAAAACCAAAUUUUUACAACAAAAUCAUUUAAAUGUGUCAAAUUAAAUUUCUGGGAGGUAAUAACAAUUUGAAAUCCAAAAGAAUGGGCUCAGGAUAUAUCCUACAAAGUAGAAAUUACUGAAAAACUAACAAGGGAACAUAGCAUAUAAGAAGCUCUCGCUGAAGAUCAACUAUGAAAAAAAGCUACAGAGAGUAUGAAGAGAGACAGUUUCUAAGAGUGUGAUGUAAAUGAAUCUAAAGAUGCAUCUGGGCCCUGAAAGCCAAAGUUGAAGAACCAACCAGCCCAACUACUGGCCUGUGAAGCUCAGUGAGGAGUGAGGCUAUGGAUAUUUAUUCACACUGGUUGAAGUCUUUGGAAAGUUUCGUGUAACAGAAUCACAUUUUCUUUACGGUCAGAUGCUGUGUAAAAUGCAAAUAAAAACAGAAUGUAAUGAUUUACAAACAAAUUAAUUACGUUUAUGAAAACGGUACAAGGAAAACUAUAUAUAUAAUAAAAAGGAGAAAUUUUUUUGAAAAGAAGAAGCUCCCAUGUUUGGUGUAAUUCAUUUCAUAAUGCACCAAAUGUUUACAGUGAGUGAAGUAGGACCUGAAGUGGAGGCAGGCCAUUUUAGGACCUGGACAUGUUAUCAAUGCUGAUACAGUCCAAGGAUUUGGCAGAAAAGCAUGUGUGAUUGAGAGCAUGUUGCUGUAUAAACUUGUACACAUAUCGUUGCAUGUAAGUAAAUUCACAUUUGCCUUCACAGAUGUUGAAAAUAUCUAUACCAUGCUGCACCCUCAAAUUGUUACUGAUGCUGGCCUUGAAGCUGUGCACCAGUGACACGCAGCAGCUUUAAAAUAUGUUGCUGCUUUAUGUCAACAUUUGAUAUGGAUCUUUUGUUUUUCUUUACAUUUUAUACAGCCUACCAAGAGCUGAACACAGAUGCCGUGUAGUCAUGUACCCUUCGUAGUGUUACAGGUUUAUCUCUGAGCACGAUGUCCGGGACGCUGAAGAGACCUAUAACCUCUGUACAUUGAAAUAGCCAUCUGACUGGUGUGGGUACUGUACAGCAAAUAUUGAGGGAUGUUGAAAAUUUAUGUAGCUGAAAUCUGGUGGAAACCAAGAUAAGUUGUUGUAUAUGAAUGUAAUUUAAAUUGGACUCACAUACAGGAUUGGUAGUUCUAUUUUUAAGAGACAUGAUUACCUCAACACAGACACAUACUGCAUUUGGUUAAAUGGCUUUGCACUUAACAUCAAAUUGAGUAGGAGUUCCUCGAUGACUUUUCCCUGUGAUUGUGUCACGUUUAUAGGUAUGUGGAUUGUUUGUUUCUCUAGAUAAUGAUAUGCUGUAUAUGGGACAAUAGAAGUGACCUUAGAAGAGCAGUUUGGUAGUUUGUUAUUUAAAAGAGGUUCUCUUUUGUGAAACACUGGCAUUUCAUCCAAUAAUGCAGAGCCAUAACAUUUUAUUUGCUUCUUGUACUGUACACACACACACACACACACACACACAUAUAUAUAUAUAUAUUAGGAGUGCAACGAUACACAAAAUUCACGGUUCGGUUCGAUACUUUGGUGUCACGGUUCGAUAUUUUUUCGACAAAAAUGUUCAUGCCUUUUUAAUUUGUCAUUUAUUAAAAUUAUGAAUAUAUAUUUUAACUCAAAAGUACAGUUUUUAAAUUUAACCCUAACCCUUGUGCGUGUUUUUUAUUUUGACAGCGAUUGACAGAGAAAUGUCUUUUUCCAAAAUAAAAGCUAUACUAUACGCUUCUUCUGGGCUUUAUUCUCAGCAGCAUAUUAAACAUAUCAGGUCCCCAUAAGGAGAAUCGUGUGCUAACGGCUGUCUAAAUGACUCUGGUAAAGUUUGUAGCAUGCGUGCUUGUUGUUUUUGUCUGCUUCCACUUGUCUUUGCACUAGGAUGAUGUCGGCGUAAAUGUGCAGUCAUAUUCAUUGUGUUCCCACUAGUGCUGUCAGCGUUAAUCUCGUUGAAAUGACCUUAACGCCACAACACGGCAAAUCUCCGUUAACGAACUACCGCGGAUCGCCCCGUGCAUGGGGCUAGACGGCCAACACGUUAACGAGCUAACUGCGCUAACACACUAGUUCCCACCUAUGUAAUUGAGCAUUGCGUGGCACCAGAGUUGGGCAAUCUGUAAUCUGAUUACUUUUUUCAAGUAACGAGUAAAGUAAGGGAUUACUAUUGCAAAAACGGUAAUUAGAUUACCGUUACUUUCCCGUAGGAACGCUGCGCUACUGCAAAAAACCGUGAUUUUUUGCGAGAAUGUCUCACGACAGUGACGUAAGCGAGUGCGCCGUUAGUGACAACAGCUGUGUGCAGAUCAACAAUGGAUCACAUAUCGAUUGUGGGAGAGAGUAUGAGCGUGCAGCGUUUAAAGCGUGGAAGUACUGACCGUACUUUGAGUUUGAUUCCAUAAAAAGUGACAAAAACAUUAGCGUACAUUGUGCGUGGGAAGAAAACUUCUUUUUACAGUGAAAAAAACCCCUAAACUUCCAAGCAAGCACCGAGUAGCUACGACGUGAUGGGAAACUCACAGAGAAAGUCACGGAUUCUUCAACUGACCGCGGCACACCUGCACCAGGGUAAACCUCCGCCUACCGCAGUCCUGCUUUACAGGUGAAAAUAGAGCAACAGGACCGCUGAGUCUUUGACUUUAUUUAUUUUCUGCUGUGUUUUACUUGCAUCUAUUUGAAAGAGUGAGUGUAAACACAAAAAAUAUUUUAUUUUAUGUGCUGGAAUGUGCAGAAAAUAGGUUUAAAUGUUAAACUAAUUUAUUCAAGUCAGAGAAUGUUGCAUAUAAUUAAAUUUUUGCUUGAUGCAUAAAGUUAAAAGAUUAAAACUGAUAAAACAAGUUUAAAAAAGAGACUUUUCCAUUUGAUUACAUUUUGUACUUGUACAUUUUUUGGACUGAAAGAUCUAUCGCUUUAUCACCUCUUCAGGUUGUAAAUCGUGUUUUUAAAAAGUAACUGAGUAACCAAGUAAUUAAUUACUUUUGAAAAUAAGUAAUCAGUAAAGUAACGGGAUUACUUUUUUGGGGAAGUAAUCAGUAAUUAGUUACUGAUUACUUUUUUCAAGUAACUUGACCAACACUGCGUGGCACAUCCAACAUACUGUUUUACUUUAGUCCAUGACGCGCUUACCUUCAGGGUCAUACAUCACAUGAAAACCAAAAUAGUUCCAAACGCCAGAUCUGAAUGAGGUUCAAUUUGCCAUGUUGCAAGGAGAGCUUAACUUCUGUCUUGCUAGCUUGCCCUGCGCUCUUCUUUCUGCCUAUGCUGUCUGUGUUGAGCGCUCAGUGGAUCUGCGCUCGACAGUGCAGCCUAGGCGGAGUAGUCAAACGCAGAUUCACUGAGCGCUCAACACAGACAGCAUUGUCAGAAGGAAAGUUGAUAAAAUAAAUUACAAAUUUUGUAUUGUUCGAUACAUAUGCUUACCGAACCGAAAGCACUGUAUUGAACGGUUCAAUGUCGAUACAAAUAUCGUUGCACCCCUAAUAUAUAUAUAUAUAUAUAUAUAUAUAUAUAUAUAUAUAUAUAUAUAUAUAUAUAUAUAUAGUACAAAAAAAAAAAAGCUAAGUGCGCUCUGUGAUACUUAAAACCCUCUAAGUAUCAUGUUACAAUGGAAAGUAAUCAGGUCCUCACCAGGUUUUAAAAUGGGGCCAAUACAAGAACAAAACUCUGCACAUUACACUGUGUUAUUAUUUAGGUGUGAGGAAACCUAAGAACGCAUUUACAGUACCAGACAAAGCAUACUAUGACCUCAUAGGAGAGUAAUCCUAAGCACAUCAACAAGAAAGCAAAAAAAAAAAAAAACCCCACAAAACAUUAAUAAUCUAAUCAAAUCUACAAUAAGUAGGAUAUGAGUAGAACUGAGGCAUUAUCAUAGUCCACGGUUCAGACCCCAUCUAUUGUCCUCAUGACAGGUGUCCAUGAACAAAUGUCUGCAAACCUCAAUAAACUGAAGUGACUGUAUAGAAGAGUACGGCAAAAUGGCUCCACAAGUAUGUGAAAGGUGAUGAGAGGAUACAAGCUACUGAAUCAUUGGAUGUCAUUAGUUUUUCACACACUGCUUAUGCAUUUUGUCUUUGUUAAUUAAAUCAAUUAUGACAUAGUGUUAAACUUAAUGUUCAUCUCAAAUUGUAUUUACCUCAUUUUAAAACCUGGUAAAAACUAUACAUAAUUGUUUUAUCACUCCCUUAUAAAACCUUAGAUUGAUUUUCUUUUUACCAUGACCUUAGGCUUUACAAAAUGUGCAGAAAUGACUGCAUUUGUUUGGUUGUUUGUUUUGUUGCUUUGUUUUGGGGUGUUUCACACAUGGACCUGCAGAACUUUGAUCCUCUUUGAAACCAUGCUCACAGUUAAAGAUACUAUCACUGACUAGAGUAUCAGAAGGACGAAUAACUUUUUUGCUAAUUUUUAAAUACAAAUAUAAAUACGCUGCACAAAAAUGAAAGAAACACCUUUUUAAUCAGAGAAUAGCAUGUAAUGAGUGAAACUUUGAGAACAUGCGCCAUCUGCUCCAGCCUGUCAAACAUAAACAAUCUUUCCUUUUAAGUACUUAGGAAAUCCUUGAAUUUAUAAAAACAAAACAAAACCCACAAAAAAACCAGGAAAAAAAUCACUGUAUUCAGUCAUAAUACUUUUUCUGACUAUAUAAAUGCAGUAGACACAUAAACUGUGAUGUUUUAAUCCAAAAACACACCUUUGUUAAAAGUUACCAGUUUAUGUUAUAGACACACUGUAUUAGAUUCACACAUGUACACCUCCCUGUUUGGUGUGUAUUCUUUGUGCUUUUUGCCCUGAAACUCUGAUUGUAAAGGGUCUGUGAACAGAUUGUGUGACAAUAGCCACAGAAAAUGGAAUUUGACACACAAAUGAUCACCGCUCACACAGUGCAUGUAAGACAGGUGGACACAUACAGUUAGCCCAUAAAUAUUUGGACAGACAACUUUUUUCUAAUACUGGCUCUGUACAUUUUAAAUGAAGCAAAUCAAAUGCAGUUGAAGUGCAGACUUUCAGCUUUUAUUCAGUGGGUUGAUCAAAAAUAAAUAUGAGGAAGUAAAGCAUGUUUUAACUCAACCCCUUCAUUUAAAUAUUGUCUACCUUACCUUGCAAGCUGCUUUUAAAGCACCUUGAGGUAACUGUUACUGUGAUUUGGUGCUGUAUAAAUAAAAUCAAAUUGAAUUUCAGGGGUUUGAAAGUAAUUGGACAAAUUCAAUAACUGAAAAUAAAAUGUCUGUUUCUAAUACUUGGUUGAAAAGCCAAAGGCAUUGACAGCCUGAAGUCUUGAACUCAUGGUUUCCUCCUUUUUAAUGCUCUGCCAGGCUUUACUUCAGUGACUUUCGGUUGAUGUUUGUUUGCGGCCCCGUCUGAAGCUUAGUCUUCAACAACUGAAAUGCACACUCACUUAGUUUAAGAUCAGGUGACUGCCUUGGCCAUUCAAGAAUAUUCCACUUGCUUUAAUAAACUCCUGGGUUGCUCUGGCUGUAUGUUUGGGUCAUUGUCCAUCUGUAUUAUGAAACAAGGCCCAAUCAGAUUGACUGCAUUUAGCUGGAUUUAGCAGACAGUAUGUCUCUGAACACCUCAGAAUUCAUUCAGCUGCUUCUGUCCUGUGUCACAUCAUCAAUAAACACUAGUGUCCCAGUGCCACUUGUAGCCAUGUACACCCAAGCCAUCACACUGCCUCCGUAGUAUUUUACAGAGGAUGUGGUUACUUGGACCAUGAGCUGUUCCACUCCUUCGCCAACAUUUUUUCUUGCCAUCAUUCUGGUAGAGGUUGAUUUUGGUUUAAUCUGUCUAAUGAGUGUUUUUCCAGCACUGUGCAGGCUGUAUUAGAUGUUCACUUGGUUGGCUUUUGUGAAUAGGUUUUUCUUCAGCAUGGAAAUGAUUCUGCAAUCACCCACCACUGUUGUCUUUGACGUCCAGGUCUUUUUGUGUUGCUGACUUCAUCAGUGCUUUCUUUCUUACUCAGAAUUGACAAAACUGUAGAUUUUGCCAUUCGUAAUAUUUCUCAGACAGCUUUUUUUUUUCUGUUUUUGCAGCUUUAGGAUGUCUUAUUCCACCUUCAUGUAGAGCUCUUUUCACCACGUUUUCUGUUCAUAGCAAAAUCUUCCAAAUGCAAGCACCACACCUCAAGUCAACUGCGGGCGUUUUAUCUGCUUAAUUGAUAAUGACAUAACAAAGGAACUGCCCACACAUGCAAAUGAAAGAACACUUUGAGUCAAUUGUCCAAUUACUUUUGGUACCUUUGGUUAAGACGCUGAAUCUCCUAAACCCCUUCAUCCAGUUUGAAUGUGGAUACCAUCAAAUGACAGCUGCUGGACAACUUUAGAAAAUACGAAAUAGUUUGCAGAUUUUGAACUUUGUUAGUUAAUUGAUUUGGUGGCAAUGGAGGCGGCCUUCAAUAGGAAAAGCUGUGAAAUACAAAGUUCCUGUUUUUCCACUAUGACAGUGCGUCCACAGUAAGAAAACAGGGCAUUCUCUGUGAAUUAACAACAAAUUUAUGUUUGUAAUUAUAAAAUUACAGCACAAGACCUUUCUGUAAUUUUCCACAUUUAUCAUGUAGGAUCAGAAAAUAAUGAUUUUUGUUUAUUGGAUUAUUGGAGUCUGAUGUAUUCAGAAAUCACAUUCAAAAGCUAGUGUGUUGUAUUUCAUGCUAAAUGUAGCUAUCAGUAAUAUGACUAACAUUUUUUUUACAACAUUCUGAGUUGAACAUUUUUAUAUUUAUUUUGGAUCUUAAAAUAGAAAAACUGCUUUAACUAUGCAAAUUAUAGUAAAAGGAGACAAAUGCUAUUCACUUGCUUUGUAAAUAAAGAAGCAAUAAAUAAAAUAAAGUAAAUGUAUACACUUUUAACUAGAUGCUUAUGGUUUCAUUACAGUAUUUUGUAUGAUACAUUGUGUAUAAUAUAUUUUAUUGUUGUUAUUUUAAUUCAUUUUAUGAUGGUAUUCACUGCCAUGAAGUCUACUGAGGAAAACUGUCCUGUCUGUAUGUCUGAAUGAAUAAAGGGCAUAACCAAAGACAA
ensembl:lncRNA